GUUAAGUAAGGGCGUAUGGCGGAUGCCUAGGCUCUCAGAGGCGAUGAAGGACGUGAUAAGCUGCGAAAAGCUGCGGGGAUCGGCACACACGAUAUGAUCCGCAGGUAUCCGAAUGGGGCAACCCACUAUACUGAAGGUAUAGUAUCCGCAAGGAGGCAAACCCGGGGAACUGAAACAUCUAAGUACCCGGAGGAGAAGAAAACAAAAGUGAUUCCGCUAGUAGUGGCGAGCGAACGCGGA
rnacentral:rRNA from 1 species